AUGAAUGAGAUUUAGGUAGUAGGAGAGUAAGGGAAGAGGAGAAGAAGGAGGGAUUAUGGAGGGAGGAGAGAAGAGAAUGAAUGAGAUUUAGGUAGUAGGAGAGCAAGGGAAGAGGAGAAGAAGGAGGGAUUAUGGAGGGAGGAGAGAAGAGAAUGAAUGAGAUUUAGGUAGUAGGAGAGCAAGGGAAGAGGAGAAGAAGGAGGGAUUAUGGAGGGAGGAGAGAAGAGAAUGAAUGAGAUUUAGGUAGUAGGAGAGCAAGGGAAGAGGAGAAGAAGGAGGGAUUAUGGAGGGAGGAGAGAAGAGAAUGAAUGAGAUUUAGGUAGUAGGAGAGCAAGGGAAGAGGAGAAGAAGGAGGGAUUAUGGAGGGAGGAGAGAAGAGAAUGAAUGAGAUUUAGGUAGUAGGAGAGCAAGGGAAGAGGAGAAGAAGGAGGGAUUAUGGAGGGAGGAGAGAAGAGAAUGAAUGAGAUUUAGGUAGUAGGAGAGCAAGGGAAGAGGAGAAGAAGGAGGGAUUAUGGAGGGAGGAGAGAAGAGAGGAAGGAGAGAAGAGAGGAUUAUUUAGGUCAGGCUGGACAGAUGCUGGGUAGUCUCUCUGAGGAGAUUCAGCAGAUUACACACACGCGCCCUACUACACCACAACUGACAGAAUUUAUUAUAACUUUGUCAUAAAGUGUUAUUAUUGACUGACGUCUUGUCUCAGUGCUAAAACUAAUAAAGCAAAUCUGAUAAGCUGAAGCUCUAGACAUGUUUUGGGGAUUUCUGCAUGCCAUACCCCCAACUGUCUUCUUCAUUUGAUAGAUUUGAGGAGUGAGGCAGUGGAAGAAGCAUCGGCAUGUCAUUUCUGCUAGAUUAAACAGUCUAGAUCAGCUCGUCAUGUAUGACAGCUCGCCUCAUUAUUCAGAGCUGUGUUUAGCAGAAAUCUCUAUCCUGCCUGCCUAACCUAGUGACAUACACACACUCAGCGUAGGAAGAACAACGUCAUCAAUUGAAAGACAUGUAUAAACAGCUCGACAAGCAUGAACCUCGUCUAGCUAUAGACAUAAACUCACAUACAGUUAGCCAAAUACAUUUAAACUCAGUUUUUGACAAUUCCUGACAUUUAAUCCUAGUAACCAUUGCCUGUCUUAUGCCAUUUAGGAUCACCACUUUAUUUUAAGAAUGUGAAAUACAUCCACAGGGACACCUCCAAUUGACUCAAAUGAUGUCAAUUAGCCUAUCAGAAGCUUCUAAAGCCAUGACAUCAUUUUCUGGAAUUUUCCAAGCUGUUUAAAGGCACAGUCAACUUAGUGUAUGUAAACUUCUGACCCACUGGAAUUGUGAUACAGUGAAAUAGAAGUUAAUUAUAAUCUGUCUGUAAACAAUUGUUGGAAAAAGUACUUGUGUCAUGCACAAAGUAGAUGUCCUAACCGACUUGCCAAAACGAUAGUUUGUUAAAAUAAAUUUGUGGAGUGGUUGAAAAAUGAGUUUUAAUGACUCCAACCUAAGUGUAUGUAAACGUACGACUUCAACUGUAAGUAUUCAGACCCUUUACUCAGUACUUUGUUGAAGCACCUUUGGCAGCGAUUACAGUCUUCUUGGGUAUGACGCUGCAAGCUUGACACACCUGUAUUUGGGGAGUUUCUCCCAUUGUUCUCUGCAGAUCCUCUCAAGCUCUGUCAGGUUGGAUGGGGAGCGAUGCUGCAUAGCUAUUUUAAGGUAUUUCCAGAGAUGUUGGAUCAGGUUCAAGUCUGGCCUCUGGCAUGGCCCCUCAAGGGGACAUUCAGAGACUUUUCCCAAAGCCACUCUUGUUGUGUCUUGGCUGUGGGCUUAGGGUCGUUGUCCAGUUGGAAGGUAAACCUUUUCCCCAGUCUAAGGUACUGAGAGCUCUGGAGCAGGAUUUUAUCAAGGAUCUCUCUGUACUUUGCUCUGUUCAUCUUUCCCUCAAUCCUGACUAGUCUCCCAGUCCCUGCCUCUGAAAAACAUCCCCACAGCAUGAUAGUGCCACCACCAUGCUUUACUGUAGGGAUGGUAUUGGGCAGGUGAUGAGCAGUGCCUGGUUUCUUCCAGAUGUGACACUUGGCAUUCCAGCCAAAGAGUUCAAUCUUGGUUUAAUCAGACCAGGGAAUCUUGUUUCACAUGGUCUGAGAGUUCUUUCGAGGCCUUUUGGCAAACUCCAAUUGGGCUGUCACGUGCCUUUUACUGAAGAGUGGCUUCCGUCUGGCCACUCUAUCAUAAAGGCCUGAUUGGUGGAGUGGUGCAGAGAUGGUUGUCCUUCUGGAAGGUUCUCCCAUCUCCAGAAGAACUCUUGAGCUCUGUCACAGUGACCAUCGGGUUCUUGGUCACCUCCCUGACCUAGGCCCUUCUCCCCUGAUUGCUCAGUUUGGCCGGGCGGCCAGCUCUAGGAAGAGUUUUGGUGGUUCCAAACUUCUUCCAUUUACGAAUGAUGGAGGCCACUGUGUUCUUGGGGAUCUUCAAUGCCGCAGAAAUGUUUUUGUACCCUUUCCCAGAUCUGUGCCUCGACACAAUCAUGUCUCGGAGCUCUACGGACAAUUCCUUCGACCUCAUGGCUUGGUUUUUGCUCUGACUUACACUUUCAACUGAGGGAUCUUAUAUAGACAGGUGUGUGCCUUUCCAAAUCAUGUCCAAUCAAUUACAUUUACCACUAGUGGACUACAAUCAAGUUGCAGAAACAUCUCAAGGAUGGUCAAACGAAACAGGAUGCACCUGAGCUCAAUUUCGAUUCUCAUAGCAAAGAGUCUGAAUAUAAUUUAAUCAAUUUCAGAAUAAGGCUGUCACGUAAUAAAAUGCGGAAAAAGUCAAGGGGUCUGAAUACUUUCCGAAUGCACUGUAUUACUUGCUAAUGUUUGGUUCCUGGACAAUAAAGUAGACAAGCUUCUCCGUCCAGAGAUAAUCAGGAAUUGUAACAUUCUGUUUCAAGGAUUCAUACCUCUCUCCGGAUAUACUGUCCCUGUCCAUACAGCCAGCUGGGUUCUCAGUACAUCGCACAGACAGGAAUAAAGAGCUCUCUCAGGAAAAAGAAAGGUGGAGGUUUCAUGAUUAACUACUCAUGGUGCGAUCGUGGUAACGUACAGGAAAUCAAGUCCGGCAUACACAUAUUUAUCAGAUGUUAUUGCGGGUGUAGCUAAAUGCUUGUGUUCCUAUCUCUGGGAUACUAGUCAGGAUCGAGGGAAAAAUGAACAGAGCAAAGUACAGAAACAUCCUUGAUGUAAACCUGCUCCAGUGCGCUCAGGACCUCAGACUUCAGCACACAGCCAAAACAAUUCAGGAGUGGCUUCGGGAAAAGUCUCUGAAUGUCCUUGAGUGGCCCACCCAGAUCCCGGACUUGAACCAGAUCAAACAUCUCUGGAGAGACCUUAAAAUAGCUGUGCAGCAACACUCCCCAUCCUACCUGACAGAACUUGAGAGGAUCUGCGGGGAAGAAUGGGAGAAACUCCUCAAAUACAGGUGUGCCAAGCUUGUAGGAUCACACCCAAGAAGACUCGCGUCUGUAAUCGCUGCCAAAGGUACUUCAACAAAGUACUGAUUAAAGGGUCUGAAUAUGUCAGGAUUUGGCCAGGGUUGUUCCGGUUUUUGGUCACUAGAUGCCCCCAUUGUGCUUUUUGACCUUUUGUUUUCCCUUGAUCCCCAUUAUUAUUUGCACCUGUGCCUCAUUUCCCCUGAUUGUAUUUAAACCCUUAGUUUUCCUCAGUUCUUUGCUCUGUGUUUGUAUGUUAGCACCCAGCCCUAGUAUUCUGUGAACUCUUGUUGAUCCCGGUGGACUCUCUUGUGGAAUUCUUUUUUUUGUUCUUGUUUAUUUAUUUUUGAGUAUCUUUUGAGGCUUUUUAUGCUAUACCUACCACCUUGUGGAUUUACCUUUUUGUCUUGGAGGAUUACCUUUGUUCUUGUGGAAUUCCUUUUGAGGUUGUGGAGUUUCAUGUUUUCCUGAAGGACUUCACUUUUUACUUCAUUAAAUACAUCGUCUCAAGUACUGCUGUGUCUGCCUCAUCUUCUGGGUUCUGCCGACUAUUCGUGGCUCAGUUGGUUAAGUGACUGUUUCUCACUCCGGAGACCCGGGUUCGUAACCGGGUCCUGACAGAAUAGUUAUGUAAAUGUUAUAUUUCAGUUUGUUUUGCAAAAAUGUUUUUGCUUCGUCAAUAUGGGGUAUUGUGUGUAGAUUGAUGAGGAGAAAAACACCAAUUUAAUCAAUUUUAGAAUAAGGCUGUAACGUAACAAAAUGUGGGAAAGGUAAAGGGGUCUGAAUACUUACACUACAGCCAUACCCCAGCAGACAUGCCACUAUGAGUUUCUUCACUGUACCCAGACUAAAAACAGAUUUAAUGCAUCGCAUUUAGGUAGAGCCAUGUCAUUAUGGGAUGCUCUGCCACAAGAGGUUACUCAGGCAAAAAGCAGUGUUUAGCUUUGAAAAACAGCUAAAAAAACCAUUGUAUCACAGCACCUCUCAUCUUUUUAAAUAUCUACUUCAACUGUACUGUAUAUAAGAAUAAGAAUAUGUAUAUACGAUAUGAUAGUGUCUAAAUAGUCUUUUUUACAUGUCUCUUGGUGGCUUUCCAAUAUAUAACUUUUUAUUUUAUUUUGAAUUUAAUGUAAUAGCUCAUGUUCUUGUGUAUAGCUGUUCUGUACUUGGUCAUGUAUGUGUAUGUUUCAUGUGGACCCCAGGAAGAGCAGCUAAACAAAACCUUAAAUUAGCCAGCAGGCCUGCCCAUGUCUGUACCACGCUAAUCUGCACUGUUAGAAAAGCUCAUUAAAAAUUACACAUAGAGACAGGGAUGCUCCCUCUCUUCCUGUGUCACACAGUGAGUCACAUACACACAAGCAUAAACACAAUCUCAUACACAUAGUUUCACACACAGUUUCACACAAUGACACACAUGCAAGCAAGCACAAUAAUGAACACACACACACACACACACACACACACACACACACACACACACACACACACACACACACACACACACACACACACACACACACACACACACACACACACACACACACACACACACACACACACACACACACACACACACACACACACACACACACACACCACCCACUCCCCCAACAGAAAAAACACACACUC